rnacentral:rRNA from 1 species
GUAGGUGGCAAGCGUUGUCCGGAAUUAUUGGGCGUAAAGCGCGCGCAGGCGGUCCUUUAAGUCUGAUGUGAAAGCCCACGGCUCAACCGUGGAGGGUCAUUGGAAACUGGGGGACUUGAGUACAGAAGAGGAAAGCGGAAUUCCACGUGUAGCGGUGAAAUGCGUAGAGGUGUGGAGGAACACCAGUGGCGAAGGCGGCUUUCUGGUCUGUAACUGACGCUGAGGCGCGAAAGCGUGGGGAGCAAACAGGAUUAGAUACCCUGGUAGUCCACGCCGUAAACGAUGAGUGCUAAGUGUUAGGGGGUUUCCCGCCCCCCUUAGUGCUGCAGCUAACGCAUUAAGCACUCCGCCUGGGGGAGUACGGCCGCAAGGCUG